CCUUUGCCUAGUGGUUAAGGCGAUAGACUAGAAAUCUUUUGGGAUAUUCCCGCGCAGGUUCGAAUCUUGGCGACGAAGUA
rnacentral:tRNA from 1 species